ACGCUCGACACCUACGGAAGGCAGCAGUAGGGAAUUUUCGGCAAUGGGGGGAACCCUGACCGAGCAACGCCGCGUGAAGGAGGAAGGAAUUCGUUCUGUAAACUUCUGUUAUAAAGGGAGAACGGCGGAUAUAGGGAAUGAUAUCCGAGUGACGGUACUUUAUGAGAAAGCCACGGCUAACUACGUACCAGCAGCCGCGGUAAUCUGAGCGGGCUGGCAAGGC
rnacentral:rRNA from 1 species